rnacentral:rRNA from 1 species
GGAUCUCUUAAAGCUGUUCUCAGUUCGGACUGCAGUCUGCAACUCGACUGCACGAAGCUGGAAUCGCUAGUAAUCGCGGAUCAGCACGCCGCGGUGAGUACGUUCCCGGGCCUUGUACACACCGCCCGUCACACCAUGGAAGUCUGCAAUGCCCGAAGCCGGUGGCCUAACCACUUAUGUGGAAGGAGCCGUCUAAGGCAGGGCAGAUGACUGGGGUGAAGUCGUAACAAGGUACC